rnacentral:lncRNA from 1 species
CUCCAAGUCAAUCCCAGUCCUCAGUUGCCUGAGAGUAGAACUGUAUUUGAGAUAUGGAAAUGCCUAUCUUAUAUAUAAAAAGCAUUGUUGUUACCUGGCUGAGCUCCAGUUCCGCUUCCUUGGUGAUUGGGACCAUCCUCCACAUCCUGUGUGGACUGGGGCUCUUCCUCCUGUUCCUUCCCUCCCUCCAGAGGAAUUUGCCCUUACAACCACCUUACAAAAGGAGAAACGUCAGGAAGCGUCAAAUGAAGCUGAGAGGGAGGAGCAGCAGGAGCAGGAAGAAAAAGGGAGCUUUGAAAGCGUUCCACAGAACACACUUUAGAGUGAUGACAUAGACAUGAGAAAACUGAAGAAUCUGCUGAGUAACAAGUUGGAUCAAGAUCUAUUUGAAUCUAAAACGAACAGGGGUUAAGUUCUUCAAGGGAAUGCUCAAAGAAUCCUGUACACUGAGAGUCAGGAGCUGAAUGUGGAAUUGGCAUCAUCUCUCAUAUCUCACACGGGGGACGUGCUCUGAAGAGCGACGGCAGAAGGCUGAGAAUUACAGUGGGGGCACUGGAUGUCUGUCAUUUGGAGGGAUGGAUGACGCAAGAGUGAACAGAGGGAAUAAAGAAGAGAUCGUCUAGGACCCAGCUAGAAAGAUGAUGUCACACAGGGAAGAGGCCAUCUGAGGACACAACCAGAAGGAGGCCCUCUACAAGCCAGGAAGAGAGCCCUCGCCAGAAGUCAACCUGAUGGCACCUUGAUCUUUGACUUCAAGCCUCCAGAACUCUGAGAAAAUACAUUUCUGUUGCUUGAACCACCUGGUCUGUGGUAUUUCAUUAUGGCAGCCCAAGCAGAGUAAUACAGAAGGCCAGGCCCCUAGAUCCUGGAAAAGUCUUGCUCUUUGCUGAGGUGCCUGUUAAAAUUUAACGUAUUCAUGAGCUAAUUCAAGUUCUCCAAGGGCUGACCACCCUGGGGAAAGACACAUCUCAACAAACUCGCUGAUGGUUUGAACAAAAUGCAGUAUAUGCUCCAAGGCUCCAAGGGGAAAGGCACUCCAUGAUCGAAAGAGGAUAGCAUCUCUGUGGUUCAACAUUUCCUUUCCAGAAAACAUCAGCAUUCUGAGAGAAUUUAAUUCUCGUAUCUGUAAACACCUUGGAGGUAUUUUCCUGUACUACUCAGUAAGCUAUGUAUUCCUGUUUUCAUCCUGUAGUGACUUUCAAGUGCUUAGCAUGUUGUCUAGAAGACACUAGGCCCUUGGAUAUUAUUUGUCAACUUCAUGUGAACUUCAGAAGAAAAUACCAAUGACUGCAUUUCUGAAUUUCACUCCUCCUCAAGAAGCAAUAGCAGUAGACAGACAGCCCGGAAGGCAUAGAAGGGUGCUUAGAGAGGAAGAUAGAUCAAAGGAAGAAUUGCUUUUCCAUCACACACUCCACCUGGACAGGCUGCUUUGGUUCCUAGAGCUUGGCAGUGCUUGUGCUUCUAUCAAAGCGCUUGGAACAGAAGCUCUUUCUCUACAGCACCCUUCUGCUCCUAAAAUAUGACCUAAACCUCUCCUCUCAGACCCUUCUGGAAGGUUAUAAAACAAAUUCCAAACAACAAGGACUGGAAGGACAAGCUCGUGAACACUAGUGCAUAUGGGAAUACCGCUCGUUACACCACAUAAUGGACUAGUUUGAUUAGCUACCUGUCUUACUGUAUUGUCUUUAGCUCCCAAACAGAAAAAAGCAAGAAUAAUCCCUUAUACAGAGUUUAUUAUACAUGCUCACAUAUGAUAAAACAUUCAUUUCACUUCA